UACGUAGGGGGCAAGCGUUGUCCGGAAUCAUUGGGCGUAAAGAGCGUGUAGGCGGCCUUUUAAGUCCUGCGUGAAAUCCUGCGGCUCAACCGCAGACGGUCGUGGGAAACUGGAAGGCUAGAGUGCGGGAGAGGAGAGUGGAAUUCCCGGUGUAGCGGUGAAAUGCGCAGAUAUCGGGAAGAACACCCGUGGCGAAGGCGGCUCUCUGGAACGCAACUGACGCUGAGACGCGAAAGCGUGGGGAGCAAACAGGG
rnacentral:rRNA from 1 species